rnacentral:rRNA from 1 species
AACGAACGCUGGCGGCAUGCCUAACACAUGCAAGUCGAACGAGACCUCCGGGUCUAGUGGCGCACGGGUGCGUAACGCGUGGGAAUCUGCCCUUGGGUUCGGAAUAACAGCGAGAAAUUGCUGCUAAUACCGGAUGAUGACGUAAGUCCAAAGAUUUAUCGCCCAAGGAUGAGCCCGCGUAGGAUUAGCUAGUUGGUGAGGUAAAGGCUCACCAAGGCGACGAUCCUUAGCUGGUCUGAGAGGAUGAUCAGCCACACUGGGGCUGAGACACGGCCCAGACUCCUACGGGAGGCAGCAGUGGGGAAUAUUGGACAAUGGGCGAAAGCCUGAUCCAGCAAUGCCGCGUGAGUGAAGAAGGCCUC